rnacentral:rRNA from 1 species
GACGAACGCUGGCGGCGUGCUUAACACAUGCAAGUCGUACGGUAAGGCCCUUUCGGGGGUACACGAGUGGCGAACGGGUGAGUAACACGUGCGUAACCUGCCCACAACUUUGGGAUAACGCUAGGAAACUGGUGCUAAUACUGGAUAUGUGCUCCUGCUGCAUGGUGGGGGUUGGAAAGCUCCGGCGGUUGUGGAUGGACUCGCGGCCUAUCAGCUUGUUGGUGGGGUAGUGGCCUACCAAGGCGGCGACGGGUAGCCGGCCUGAGAGGGUGACCGGCCACAUUGGGACUGAGAUACGGCCCAGACUCCUACGGGAGGCAGCAGUGGGGAAUAUUGCACAAUGGGCGCAAGCCUGAUGCAGCAACGCCGCGUGCGGGAUGACGGCCUUCGGGUUGUAAACCGAUUUCAGCAGGGACGAAGCUUUUUGUGACGGUACCUGCAGAAGAAGCACCGGCUAACUACGUG